rnacentral:tRNA from 1 species
UAGCUCAGUUGGUAGGGUGCUUGCUUUGCAUGCAUAAGACCCUGGGUUCAAUUCCCAG